GGGUUUCAGUUUUUAAAAAAGAGUAAAGUCGUACUUUUAAUCCGUUGGUCGCGAGUUCGAAUCUCGCCCGACCCACCA
rnacentral:tRNA from 1 species